GGGACUCGGAAUGGCCCCAGACUUGGCGGGCGGCCUCCGUGUGCCAAAAAUAGGCCACGGGCACAGCCGCGCCCAAAAAUCAGCCCCCGAAGGUCGGGAUCCCAAGACCCCCCAGCGGAAAAAAGGCCAAGAAACGUGUGGGCUAUAGCCUUGGUGGGGGGCGUGGGCGAAGUUCGUCCGCGGGACUCGGAAUGGCCCCAGACUUGGCGGGCGGCCUCCGUGUGCCAAAAAUAGGCCACGGGCACAGCCGCGCCCAAAAAUCAGCCCCCGAAGGUCGGGGUCACAAGACCCCCCAGCGGAAAAAAGGCCAAGAAACGCGUGGGCUAUAGCCUUGGUGGGGGGCGUGGGCGAAGUUCGUCCGCGGGACUCGGAAUGGCACCAUACUUGCCGGGCGGCCUCCGUGUGCUAAAAAUAGGCCACGGGCACAGCCGCGCCCAAAAAUCAGCCCCCGAAGGUCGGGGUCCCAAGACCCCCCAGCGGAAAAAUGGCCAAAAAACGGGCGGGCUAU
rnacentral:lncRNA from 1 species